AAUCAAGGACAUUAAUUUAGCCAUCUCUGCAAGUUCCAUCAGCUUCACCAACCAUUCCUCCAUUGUGGGUAGCGGUAUAAGCAUCCAUUGUAACCACAGGGAUGACAACAUCUGUGUCGUAAUGUCAUGAUGCCAGCUCCACCUUUUUGUACUUGUGUUGCAACAUAGUACAACAGUCCAUAAACAGUGGAGUUUGUGUUGCAAUGGACGCUCCAACCCUUAGAUGGGUGAGUGUUUUCUGUUGGAGGUUGCAACUCAAACUUAGAAGUGACGAAAUGGUUGCAGGAGGCCUUCCCGUUACACAAUGACAUUUCCAAGGGUGGGGUUGGGGUUGGCAACUGGCCUGUUUGGAGAGAUUGGUGGGGUGGGGGGCAUCUGGGAGCAUUAGGAUGAUUUUAAGAGCCCACCCUUAUUUUCAUAGGUUGGGGCCAAAAAAGAUGUUGCUACAAUACAAUCUAGCCAUUUUCCUAUCAAAUUUCAGUGACACGCUUUCAGUGUGCUUUGGGGGCCAUAUGUGGCCCAUGAGUGGUGGUUGACUACUCCUUCACCAUACUAAUUUAGUUUUAAAGCUAAACUAAUUUAAUUAUUAUGAAAAAAUGUCCACCCACAUAAAAAACAAAGCAAAACAAAUUCAGAAAGAAACUCACCCUGCUGUUUUAUUAUAUGUGCAGGAUAUAUUUGUUACUUCAUGUCUGUAUGUUUAUUGGGGACAAAUGUAAGUUCAAAGAAAUGUGGAUGUGUCCUGCAACCACUGAUUGGCUGAAAUUAAUUUCUUAAAAAAGCUGUUAAUGCUACAUAUUUACAGAAAGAUUAUGCAGUGUUAUACAACUUUGGGUCCUCUUGCAAUUUUGGGCUACAACUACCACAAUCUCUUGUCAUUGGCCUGCUGGUUGGGAUUGAUGGAAACUGUAGUCUAAAACAUAAGAGUUAGAAGAGGCCAUUAGAUCAACAAGUCCAACCCUCUGCUGAGUUCGGGAAUCCAAAUUAAAGCAACCAAAGAUGGUUAUCCAGCUUCCAUCUGAAUAUCUCCACAGCAUGGAAUCCCACCGCCUCUGGGGGGUUGUACUUUGAACUGCUCUUAUAAACAAGUUUUUUCUAACAUUCAAUCUGAAUUUGGCUUCCUGCAACUGAAAUUCAUUCCUGUCCUGUGUUCUGGAAUGAGAGAGAGCAAGUCUUGAGAUUCUUCUUUGCAAAUCCUUUCAGUAUUUCAAGUUAUUUUGGCCCCCCUCAGUUUUCUCUCCUUAAGGCUAAACAUGCCCGGUUCUUCAACCUUUCUUCAUGGGAUUUCCUCUCCAAUCCCCAGAGUAAAGAGGAACAAUUACUUCCUGUAAUAUGGAAACCCUUGAUGCAUCUUAAAAUUGCAUGUGCCCUCCUGUAACUCUAUCAUGCUGUUUGAAAUCAACUACUCUUUCACAAUCAUUUUCUUAAAUAUUACCAAGCCAGAUAGCUCCCAUUUAAUAUCUCCACAUCUGAGUUCUAUUUCCUAACCGAAGAACUGCACUUAUCUUUGUUAAAUUUCCUUCUGUUAUUUUCAGCUUAUUUUUCUAACUUAACAAGUUGGUUUUGAAUUUUACUUCUAUCUUCAAGAGUAUAUUAGUCAUCCCACCCAAUUUUGUGUCAUCUGCAAAUUUGAUAAACAUUUUCUCUAUUUCUUUAUUCAAAUCUUUAAUAAAAAUAUUGAAACACACAGGUCCCAGAACUGAAUCUUUUGGCUCCUUACUUAAUACCUCUCUCCAGUUCAGUGAGGAAUCAAUGAUGAGCAUUUUUUCAGUAAGAUUUUUGAGCCAUUUAAUGUAUACACUUUAGUUAUAUACUAAAGUGGUAUACACUUUAGGUAUCCACUUAAUUUCAUGGCAUUUAACUCAUAUUUGAUUUAGUCGACUAAUCAGAAUGAGAUGGGAUACUUUGUCAAAUAAACUGCUGAAAUCAGAAAUAUGUUAGAACAUCACUACAAUCUAAAAGAUUAGCAUGACAAUAUUCAUGCUAACUUAAUUUCUGCAGUGUUUACAAAACUCACCAGGCCAAACAUAGUCCUGGUGAGGUGCAGACCAUUUCUGAUUCCAGAAAUCAAAUUUCUCCCAUCGACAUCAUCUACAUAAUCAGUUAUUCACCUGGAGUAUUUUUCUUUCCUUUUCCAUGGACUAAAAGGACAAGAAAAGUUUUCUUCCUUCAAAACCUAGGGUGAACCACUCCUAACUAUUAUUUGUGCCCAUACAGAAUAACAGGAAGGGACAAUUGUCACUGGGCUUAAUAAGCCUCAGGAGGAGUCCUCUCACAUCCCUGUUCCUUGCUUCAGGCAAACAGCAUGCUUCACAAGUCAGUGGGUUCACGUAUUUGCUUUAUUCAUAUCAUAGUAGUGAGUCACCAAAUAUUAAGAUUCUUCUCUUUGUUUUCUUACAGAAUACAGCUGCAUCCCCUGUGCCCUUCAGGGAUCGACUGACCUAUGUCAUGUUCUCAGUGUCACUUUCUGUUUCUCCUGUGAGGCUUAAAAACUAUUCUUGGUUUCAGCAAUGCUGAAUAUAUUCAACAUCUCUUCUGGUUGUUAUUGAGCUUGUCCCUCUUUAGGUUCUUUUCCUUAUAGAAAGUUGCUUUUUGCAAGCACUGCUCCAAACUUGUAGUUCCUGAAAGUAUAUGUCAGAUUCUUCUUAGUCAGGACACAAACAUGCCAUAAGCAUUGCAUAUCAUGACUGCAGAUUCCUGUCCAUUCAUUUUCAUUUUUGUUUCUCAAAGUUCCACUAGUAGAAAGCUUCUUUUUCAUCUUGCUCCCUUCACAGGACUCCUCUGAACUUUAAUGGCUAGUUUCUGUUUGCGUUCCCUGUUCGGGAACCCUCAAUGAUGCUCGGGAGGACACCAAGUUGCUAAACCUGAUGAUUACUUCUGCUGAGACAACAAAGACUGGAGAGCAAACAGAUUGCGACAGGUGCCAAUGAAUAGAUGUCUCUUCACCUUAAGGCAAAGACUUGUGACUUUAAGCAAAGAGAGAACCUGCCCGCAAGAUUAAAGCUCAGGAAAAUGUAACCUGACAACUUCCUCAAAGAUGAACCAUGUUCAGCUUUUGGCCCUCCAGAAAGAUACCCUUGUUGAUGGUAUCCAGCACCACUGUUUGGACUGGGUGAAAGUUGUCUAUCAAUACCGAAUAGAGAAAUGCCCUCUUCAAGUGGAGGCACACCAUUGUCUUUUUCACUAUCCCUCCCUCAAAAAGGCAUUAAUCAUCUCCUGAAUCCACCCACUCUCUGGCUGCCUGAAGGAGCCAAAUGGGGUAAAGAUUCAACCCAGGGAUGGCCAAGAUCAUGCUGCAGAAGACUCUGUCCACUUCAUCAGAUUCUACAAGCUUGAGAAUCCUAAUUACUUCUUUUGAUUCUGCCCAUGUGAAGUCAAGAUCUGAACAAAUGUGAAUGAUUUCAUUAGUGAAAUAUUUAACAAACCUGUUGCAGCAGCCUGAAGGAAGGUCUUCCAGCUCACCUUUCCCACACAGAUACAGGUCACCUGCUGCAGAAUGUCAUUCUACUGGUGCAAUAAAGGUGAAGUAGUGAUGUCUUGCCACCCUUAUCUUUACAGUGUAGAAAAAAGCUUGUGCCUAGAGUAUAUGAAAGAAGAUUAUCAUGUAAGCUGCCCAGAUGUCCUGCAGAAAAGAUUUUAUUUUUAAGAAAUAAAAUCAACUGUAACAGAAACCAGUAUUAUGAAGGCAACUGGAAAUGAGCAGACAAGCCAGGUGACCAGUCCAUGAACCCUGACCAGAGUCAGUAAUAUUACCUGUUUCUGUGUAUAUCAUAACACUGAAAAAGGUUAAUGUGAAGAAUGAUGCCCACUGAAGACAAC